rnacentral:tRNA from 1 species
GCGCUCGUGGUGGAAUUGGCAGACACGUAAGAUUCAGGUUCUUAUUCCGCGAGGAGUGGGGGUUCAAGUCCCUCCGAGCGCACCA